UAUUGCACAAUGGGUGAAACCCUGAUGCAGCAACGCCGCGUGAGUGAGGAAGUAUUUCGGUAUGUAAAGCUCUAUCAGCAGGGAAUAGAAAAGAAGGUACCUGAAAAAGAAGCCCCAGCUAACUACGAGCCAGCAGCCGCGGUAAUACGUAGGGGGCAAGCGUUAUCCGGAUUUACUGGGUGUAAAGGGAGCGUAGACGGAAAGGCAAGUCAGAAGUGAAAACCCAAGGCUCAACCAUGGGACUGCUUUUGAAACUGUCAAACUAGAGUACGGGAGAGGUAAGAGGAAUUCCUAGUGUAGCGGUGAAAUGCGUAGAUAUUAGGAGGAACACCAGUGGCGAAGGCGGCUUACUGGACAGUAACUGACGUUGAGGCUCGAAAGCGUGGGGAGCAAACAGG
rnacentral:rRNA from 1 species